rnacentral:rRNA from 1 species
GAUGAACGCUGGCGGCGUGCUUAACACAUGCAAGUCGAACGGAAAGGCCCAAGCUUGCUUGGGUACUCGAGUGGCGAACGGGUGAGUAACACGUGGGUGAUCUGCCCUGCACUUCGGGAUAAGCCUGGGAAACUGGGUCUAAUACUGGAUAGGACCACUUCUUGGAUGGUGUGGUGGAAAGUUUUUUCGGUGUGGGAUGAGCUCGCGGCCUAUCAGCUUGUUGGUGGGGUAAUGGCCUACCAAGGCGUCGACGGGUAGCCGGCCUGAGAGGGUGUACGGCCACAGUGGGACUGAGAGACGGCCCAGACUCCUACGGGAGGCAGCAGUGGGGAAUAUUGCACAAUGGGCGCAAGCCUGAGGCAGCGACGCCGCGUGGGGGAUGACGGCCUUCGGGUUGUAAACUCCUUUCGCUAGGGACGAAGCGUUUUUGUGACGGUACCUGGAGAAGAAGCACCGGCUAACUACGUG